rnacentral:rRNA from 1 species
GAUGAACGCUGGCGGCGUGCCUAAUACAUGCAAGUCGAGCGAACGGACGAGAAGCUUGCUUCUCUGAUGUUAGCGGCGGACGGGUGAGUAACACGUGGAUAACCUACCUAUAAGACUGGGAUAACUUCGGGAAACCGGAGCUAAUACCGGAUGAUAUUUUGAACCGCAUGGUUCAAAAGUGAAAGACGGUCUUGCUGUCACUUAUAGAUGGAUCCGCGCUGCAUUAGCUAGUUGGUAAGGUAACGGCUUACCAAGGCAACGAUGCAUAGCCGACCUGAGAGGGUGAUCGGCCACACUGGAACUGAGACACGGUCCAGACUCCUACGGGAGGCAGCAGUAGGGAAUCUUCCGCAAUGGGCGAAAGCCUGACGGAGCAACGCCGCGUGAGUGAUGAAGGUCUUCGGAUCGUAAAACUCUGUUAUUAGGGAAGAACAUAUGUGUAAGUAACUGUGCACAUCUUGACGUUACCUAAUCAGAAAGCCACGGCUAACUACGUG